rnacentral:rRNA from 1 species
AGAGUUUGAUCAUGGCUCAGGAUGAACUCUAGCGGCAGUCUUAACACAUGCAAGUCGAGGGGCAGCAUAAUGGAUAGCAAUAUCUAUGGUGGCGACCGGCGCACGGGUGCGUAACGCGUAUGCAACCUACCUUUAACAGGGGGAUAACACUGAGAAAUUGGUACUAAUACCCCAUAACAUCAUGAAAGGCAUCUUUUAUGGUUGAAAAUUCCGAUGGUUAGAGAUGGGCAUGCGUUGUA